rnacentral:rRNA from 1 species
GUGGAUUAGAUACCCUGGUAGUCCACGCCCUAAACUGUGGAUGCUAGGUGUGGGGGGUGUCGACCCCCUCCGUGCCGCAGCUAACGCUUUAAGCAUCCCGCCUGGGGAGUACGGCCGCAAGGCUAAAACUCAAAGGAAUUGACGGGGGCCCGCACAAGCGGCGGAGCGUGUGGUUUAAUUCGAUGCAACGCGAAGAACCUUACCAGGGCUUGACAUGCUAGUGGUACGGAUCUGAAAGGUGAAGGACCCUUCGGGGAGCUAGCACAGGUGCUGCACGGCUGUCGUCAGCU